GACGAACGCUGGCGGCGUGCUUAACACAUGCAAGUCGAACGGAAAGGCCCUGCUUUUGUGGGGUGCUCGAGUGGCGAACGGGUGAGUAACACGUGAGUAACCUGCCCUUGACUUUGGGAUAACUUCAGGAAACUGGGGCUAAUACCGGAUAGGAGCUCCUGCUGCAUGGUGGGGGUUGGAAAGUUUCGGCGGUUGGGGAUGGACUCGCGGCUUAUCAGCUUGUUGGUGGGGUAGUGGCUUACCAAGGCGUUGACGGGUGGCCGGCCUGAGAGGGUGACCGGCCACAUUGGGACUGAGAUACGGCCCAGACUCCUACGGGAGGCAGCAGUGGGGAAUAUUGCACAAUGGGCGGAAGCCUGAUGCAGCAACGCCGCGUGCGGGAUGACGGCCUUCGGGUUGUAAACCGCUUUCGCCUGUGACGAAGCGUGAGUGACGGUAAUGGGUAAAGAAGCACCGGCUAACUACGUG
rnacentral:rRNA from 1 species